rnacentral:rRNA from 1 species
GGACCUUCGGGCCUCUCGCGUCAGGAUAUGCCCAGGUGGGAUUAGCUAGUUGGUGGGGUAAAGGCUCACCAAGGCAACGAUCUCUAGCUGGUCUGAGAGGAUGAUCAGCCACACUGGAACUGAGACACGGUCCAGACUCCUACGGGAGGCAGCAGUGGGGAAUAUUGCACAAUGGGCGCAAGCCUGAUGCAGCCAUGCCGCGUGUAUGAAGAAGGCCUUCGGGUUGUAAAGUACUUUCAGUGGUGAGGAAGGUUAUGUAUUUAAUAGAUGCGUAGCUUGACGUUAGCCACAGAAGAAGCACCGGCUAACUCCGUGCCAGCAGCCGCGGUAAUACGGAGGGUGCGAGCGUUAAUCGGAAUUACUGGGCGUAAAGCGCAUGCAGGUGGUCUGUUAAGUCAGAUGUGAAAGCCCGGGGCUUAACCUCGUAAUAGCAUUUGAAACUGUCAGACUAGAGUACUGUAGAGGGGGGUAGAAUUUCAGGUGUAGCGGUGAAAUGCGUAGAGAUCUGAAGGAAUACCGGUGGCGAAGGCGGCCCCCUGGACAGAUACUGACACUCAGAUGCGAAAGCGUGGGGAGCAAACAGGAUUAGAUACCCUGGUAGUCCACGCCGUAAACGAUGUCUACUUGGAGGUUGUGGCCUUGAGCCGUGGCUUUCGGAGCUAACGCGUUAAGUAGACCGCCUGGGGAGUACGGUCGCAAGAUUAAAACUCAAAUGAAUUGACGGGGGCCCGCACAAGCGGUGGAGCAUGUGGUUUAAUUCGAUGCAACGCGAAGAACCUUACCUACUCUUGACAUCUACAGAAGCUUGCGGAGACGCGAGUGUGCCUUCGGGAGCUGUAAGACAGGUGCUGCAUGGCUGUCGUCAGCUCGUGUUGAAAUGUUGGGUUAAGUCCCGCAACGAGCGCAACCCUUAUCCUUGUUUGCCAGCACGUAAUGGUGGGAACUCCAGGGAGACUGCCGGUGAUAAACCGGAGGAAGGUGGGGACGACGUCAAGUCAUCGUGGCCCUUACGAGUAGGGCUACACACGUGCUACAAUGGCACAUACAGAGGGCAGCCAACUUGCAAAAGUGAGCGAAUCCCAAAAAGUGUGUCGUAGUCCGGAUCGGAGUCUGCAACUCGACUCCGUGAAGUCGGAAUCGCUAGUAAUCGUGGAUCAGAAUGCCACGGUGAAUACGUUCCCGGGCCUUGUACACACCGCCCGUCACACCAUGGGAGUGGGCUGCAAAAGAAUUAGGUAGUUUAACCUUCGGGGGGACGCUUACCACUUUGUGGUUCAUGACUGGGGUGAAGUCGUAACAAGGUA